rnacentral:lncRNA from 1 species
CUGAUCCAGUGCUUCAUCUGCAGAGUGCAAUGGAAAAUGGAACUGCACGUAGUCAGAUUGUUGGAGGAGUUCCAUUUGUUGGUAUGGGUGGUAUAGGAAAUUUAACUACCUUUUAUUAUUUGAAGGUAUGGAUCAUAUGUAUUUAAAUAUUUUCACCAUGCAAACUUUAGAAUUUUUAUUUUUAAAACUUAGAACUAUUUGUUUUCUUUGGCAUCAUAGUUAAAGGUGCAAGAGUUGCUGUCUGUCAUCAUAUCAGAAGAAUAUCACGAAGGUUCCGUAGAAUUAAGGAACUAGAUGUGCAGCAGUUAAGCACCAAUAUACUUAGGAGGCAUAGCACUAGAAAAUGGCUGCAAUAAUAUUUUGGUAGUAUCUCCACCAGAGGUUGGACACAUGUAGGCAUACGAACCAACGCCUGAUACAUUUAUCUUUCAGAUGACAAAAUUCUAUUGAAGAUUUGGAAGGAUGGUCUUUCCCACCAAUAAAGGGAGUUUUGGUAUUUGGCAUCUAACUAUGAAGCAUAUCGAGUUCUAUAGGUUAGUGCAAGCAUACCUGCUUUUCCAGGAUCAUGACAGAACUGCGGUGGAAUAAGCAAUAGGAUUCCCAAAGCAAGACAUUUUCUAGCUACUAAAUUUGAAGAUAAUGCGACUUUUAUACACUUUUUUCUAUAGAAAAUGCACAGAAAUUUUAUUUUUUUUAUGCCAAAAUCUUGUAGCAAGUUUGAGUUUGGAAGUACCUCAAUCGCCAAGAGAGAAGUUAUGUACGCCUGUGUGUAAAUUCCAAAUUUUUUUGUAUAUAUAUUUCUGUGACUCAAUAUUUCUUUUGAUAGAAACAGG